rnacentral:rRNA from 1 species
UACGUAGGGUGCAAGCGUUUAAUCGGAAUUACUGGGCGUAAAGCGUGCGCAGGUGGUUGUGUAAGCUUGAUGUGAAAUCCCCGGGCUUAACCUGGGAAUGGCAUUGAGGACUGCACGGCUAGAGUGCGUCAGAGGGGGUGGAAUUCCGCGUGUAGCAGUGAAAUGCGUAGAGAUGCGGAGGAACACCGAUGGCCGAAGGCAGCCCCCUGGGAUGACACUGACACUCAUGCACGAAAGCGUGGGGAGCAAACAGG